rnacentral:pre_miRNA from 1 species
AGUGGAAUUGCUGGGUCAUAUAGUAACACUGUUUAAAUUUUUGAGGAACUGCCAAACUGUUUUCCAAAGUAGCUGCAGCAUUUUGCAUUUCCACCAGCAAU